UAUGACUUUAGGGUCAAAAGGUAUCAUCGAUGCACGCUUGCAUGCAAUUCGAUGUAUACCUUAGUGACCCGCACUACACCGAGAAAGUAACAGUUUGCUGCAGGGACGCAGAAAAUUAGCGGACUUCGAGGUGUAGUCAGAUUAUGGAAAUGCGUAGCAUGGAGCAAUCUGAUUAAUCAUA
rfam:Human gut metagenome DNA, contig sequence: F2-W_014504.